CAAUGUGUGACCGUUCAGGUUGCGUUUCUGAACGCAACUCACAUCACUUCUAAGAUAGGGUGUCCAGGUCUGGAAGAAAUGAUCCAUUUCUCUACUGAUGAGCAUAGCAAUCUGUGGGCCUGUUGCUGUCCACGUCUGGAAUACCAGCUAAGGUGGAUUGAUGGUGCCGAUGGCCCCCAUGCAUAGGUUCCUGGCACUCCCAUCCUCUGGGAUGUGGUCCACAGCUCCUCCCAUUGCAGGUGGAGGGUCUGCUUCCCCACCCAAGUCUGCCUUGGCCUGAGACUUGCUUUGACCAGUGGAAUGUGAGCAAAGUGAGGCUGUGCCAGUUCCAGUCUGUGCCACCAGGUCCCUGCUGGAAACCAGCUUCCAUCAUGACAGCAGGCUGGGGCUGGCCUGCAUGAGGGUGACAGAGCACAAG
rnacentral:lncRNA from 10 species